rnacentral:lncRNA from 1 species
GUGAGUAUAGCUUUUGGCUUUCUGACCUCUACAGCUGGGAAGGUGCCUACAAGGGUGGGCUGGAGGUUGAGAGCUAACCCACAGUACUCAUCACAGUGGGGCACAGAGGCUGGUCUACAUUUCUUGACUGGGUAGAGCCAAUCUAGCAUAGGUCUUCGUUUGGGGGACUUGGUUUUUCUUUUUCCAUCUCUGCCGGGAUGAGUGUGUUACUGAGCAAGGGCUCGCCACCUGACGUGCAUGAAGAGCCAAUUAUUACAGCAUCAGCCUUUGGGAGAAGAAAAGCAGCCUCACUGCGAGAUCAAACUGUAAGGAGACAGGAGGCAUGUGCUCUCAGAUCUGUCUCCUCCAUUCAGGAUUUGGGAACUUGAGUAAGGAAGAAGGGUACAAUUUACAGGGUCCUCUCAAAGAACCCUACUUCUAAUAUGGCUGCAGUGAAAAGAGCUAGGGGUGGAGAGACACCAAAUGAGACUGUAGAGGGGCCUGAUUCUAUUAAGUCUUCUGGGUCUAGUUAAGGAUUUUGGACUUGAACCUAAGGCCAUGCGGAAG